rnacentral:rRNA from 1 species
AUUGAACGCUGGCGGCAUGCUUUACACAUGCAAGUCGAACGGCAGCGCGGGCUUCGGCCUGGCGGCGAGUGGCGAACGGGUGAGUAAUGCAUCGGAACGUGCCCAGCAGUGGGGGAUAGCCCGGCGAAAGACGGAUUAAUACCGCAUACGACCUGAGGGUGAAAGCGGGGGACGGAAAGGCCUCGCGCUAUUGGAGCGGCCGAUGUCGGAUUAGCUAGUUGGUGGGGUAAAGGCUUACCAAGGCGACGAUCCGUAGCUGGUCUGAGAGGACGACCGGCCACACUGGGAGUGGACCACGCCCCAGACUCCUACGGGAGGGAGCAGUGGGGAAUUUUGGACAAUGGGGGCGACCCUGAUCCAGCCAGGCCGAGUGCGGGAAGAAGGCCUUCGGGUUGUAAACCGCUUUUGUUCGGGAAGAAAUCCUCUGGGCUAAUACCCCGGGGGGAUGACGGUACCGGAAGAAUAAGCACCGGCUAACUACGUG